CAGUACCACUCCAGGUGGUCUCCUCUACAUCUGAUAUCACUGAACGAGGGGGUGGAGAAGCUUCAGCAUGUUUCAGACCACUGUUUGUAUGAAGCCCAUCACUGUACGGAGCACGUGGUGAAGGUAGGCAGCCACUGUGAGACUCGUCUGCUCUGUUUCAGGGGUGAGGUUUGGGGAAUAUUACUGCCACGUCUGCCACCUGUGUGAUAAAAACAAGAAGAUCUACCACUGGCAGCCCUGCAGCAUCUACAGGAUUCCUGUUGAUAUAGUUGAGCGAUGCAGUCCUGUAGCUCUGCUCACUGUGUCCUGAUCUUACUGAUCUUCACAUUCACUGCUGUGUAUGUGUCAGCUGUUCCCCCAGUGAAGGUGAAGCUUAAUGAGACGGCUACUCUGCCCUGCUAUGAGAGCUGUGCUGGUGUCGUCAGAUGGACUGUAUCCCAUAAACCCAGAGAUGUUCUAGCUGAGUGUGAUCAGACUUCAUGUAGAUCAGUGAAGGAGGGAUAUCAGAUGAUCCAUGAUCAGUACCUGAAGGGGAAUCUCUCUCUCAUCAUCACUAAUGCUGACCUCAGUAAGAGCAGUACAUACACGUGUGAGUGCGGCAAAUCAGAGAUCUGUGAUGUGUACCUUCAGGUUGAGGAGAAAGGAACUGAAAACAGCAGAAACAGUGAGGGAAUGUCCCAUGGUAAG
ensembl:lncRNA